rnacentral:rRNA from 1 species
CCUACGGUGCGCUGCAGUGGGAAAUAUUGGACAAUGGGCGAAAGCCUGAUCCAGCCAUGCCGCGUGUGUGAAGAAGGCCUUCGGGUUGUAAAGCACUUUCAGUGGGGAAGAAAGCCUUGGGGCUAAUACCCUCGAGGAAGGACAUCACCCACAGAAGAAGCACCGGCUAACUCCGUGCCAGCAGCCGCGGUAAUACGGAGGGUGCGAGCGUUAAUCGGAAUUACUGGGCGUAAAGCGCGCGUAGGCGGUCUGAUAAGCCGGUUGUGAAAGCCCCGGGCUCAACCUGGGAACGGCAUCCGGAACUGUCAGGCUAGAGUGCAGGAGAGGAAGGUAGAAUUCCCGGUGUAGCGGUGAAAUGCGUAGAGAUCGGGAGGAAUACCAGUGGCGAAGGCGGCCUUCUGGACUGACACUGACGCUGAGGUGCGAAAGCGUGGGUAGCAAACAGGAUUAGAUACCCUGGUAGUC